rnacentral:rRNA from 1 species
UGGGGAAUCUUCCGCAAUGGACGAAAGUCUGACGGAGCAACGCCGCGUGAGUGAAGACGGCCUUCGGGUUGUAAAGCUCUGUUAUUCGGGAAGAACGAUUCGUUUGUGAACAAUGAACGGAAGUGACGGUACCGAAAGAGAAAGCCACGGCUAACUACGUGCCAGCAGCCGCGGUAAUACGUAGGUGGCAAGCGUUGUCCGGAAUUAUUGGGCGUAAAGAGCGCGUAGGCGGUAUGGUAAGUCUGUCUUAGAAGUGCGGGGCUUAACCCCGUGAGGGGACAGAGACUGUCAUACUGGAGUCUCGGAGAGGAAAGCGGAAUUCCUAGUGUAGAGGUGAAAUGCGUAGAGAUUAGGAAGAACACCGGUGGCGAAGGCGGCUUUCUGGACGAGCACUGACGCUGAGGCGCGAAAGCGUGGGGAGCGAACAGG